rnacentral:rRNA from 1 species
UGGCGACCAUAGCGUUUUGGACCCACCUGAUUCCAUCCCGAACUCAGAAGUGAAACGAAACAGCGUCGAUGGUAGUGUGGGGUCUCCCCAUGUGAGAG